CUAACCAGGUUGCAAUGAAUUUUCACUCAGCCAUUAUCUCAUGGGCUCUGGAAAAGAACAGUUUAAUUCUGUCUGAUUAGUUCAUACCAAGCUCCAUUAUUUUUAUACCUCUACAUGUACCAAAGUCAAAUCGGGAUUUAACACUGUUGUUUCUGGUCAGUACUAUGUAUACGGUAGCUUUUAUACGAACACCUGUCUCGAAAAGGCUGUUUUAUCUUCACUCAUAACAAAACCGUUGGUUCAUUCACAUUGGCUCUUUUACUGACAUACAAGGGAAAUAGCCCGCCACUCCUCCUCACUUGAUUAAUAAUUCCUUUCUCGUGCCAUCUAUGGCAAAAACAAGAUGCAGAAUGCUGUCCACUGCACAGAUCUUCCAGAAGAUGGUCUUUUGGAGGUCCAGUACUUUUUCAAUAUCCUGGACAACUAACCUGGAGAGCACUGAAUUACAAAACACCAGCCACAGGAUGGAAGAUGUGUUUAUUUGUUUAUUGUCCAUUGUUUUUAACCUGACUGAAAUACAAGAUUUAACAAGAGCACUGUUACUCCUGGCUAUUACAUAUGUUAAAACAUAGAGUUUUGCACUUCAGACAACAUUUAGACACCAGUUGAUGGGGUAACUGCAUUGCUUUUCAUAAAGUUCAAAAUAAAGAUUUAUUUUCAAA